rnacentral:rRNA from 1 species
GACGAACGCUGGCGGCGUGCUUAACACAUGCAAGUCGAACGGAAAGGCCCUGCUUUUGUGGGGUGCUCGAGUGGCGAACGGGUGAGUAACACGUGAGUAACCUGCCCUUGACUUUGGGAUAACUUCAGGAAACUGGGGCUAAUACCGGAUAGGAGCUCCUGCUGCAUGGUGGGGGUUGGAAAGUUUCGGCGGUUGGGGAUGGACUCGCGGCUUAUCAGCUUGUUGGUGGGGCAGUGGCUUACCAAGGCUUUGACGGGUAGCCGGCCUGGGAGGGUGACCGGCCCACUUGGGACUGAGAUACCGCCCCGACUCCUACGGGGGGCAGGAGUGGGGAAUAUUGCACAAUGGGCGGAAGCCUGAUGCAGCAACGCCGCGUGCGGGAUGACGGCCUUCGGGUUGUAAACCGCUUUCGCCUGUGACGAAGCGUGAGUGACGGUAAUGGGUAAAGAAGCACCGGCUAACUACGUG